UACGGGGGAGGCAAGCGUUGUUCGGAAUUACUGGGCGUAAAGGGCUCGUAGGCGGCCAACUAAGUCAGACGUGAAAUCCCUCGGCUUAACCGGGGAACUGCAUCUGAUACUGGAUGGCUUGAGUUCGGGAGAGGGAUGCGGAAUUCCAGGUGUAGCGGUGAAAUGCGUAGAUAUCUGGAGGAACACCGGUGGCGAAGGCGGCAUCCUGGACCGACACUGACGCUGAGGAGCGAAAGCCAGGGGAGCAAACGGG
rnacentral:rRNA from 1 species